rfam:Anopheles epiroticus strain epiroticus2 unplaced genomic scaffold supercont1.1576, whole genome shotgun sequence.
CAAACGGUCCUUCUCAGGACCACCAGAAAUGUUGCUCACUAAAAGAAU